rnacentral:rRNA from 1 species
UGGUUUAAUUCGAUGCAACGCGAAGAACCUUACCUGGUCUUGACAUCCACGGAAGUUUUCAGAGAUGAGAAUGUGCCUUCGGGAACCGUGAGACAGGUGCUGCAUGGCUGUCGUCAGCUCGUGUUGUGAAAUGUUGGGUUAAGUCCCGCAACGAGCGCAACCCUUAUCCUUUGUUGCCAGCGGUCCGGCCGGGAACUCAAAGGAGACUGCCAGUGAUAAACUGGAGGAAGGUGGGGAUGACGUCAAGUCAUCAUGGCCCUUACGACCAGGGCUACACACGUGCUACAAUGGCGCAUACAAAGAGAAGCGACCUCGCGAGAGCAAGCGGACCUCAUAAAGUGCGUCGUAGUCCGGAUUGGAGUCUGCAACUCGACUCCAUGAAGUCGGAAUCGCUAGUAAUCGUGGAUCAGAAUGCCACGGUGAAUACGUUCCCGGGCCUUGUACACACCGCCCGUCACACCAUGGGAGUGGGUUGCAAAAGAAGUAGGUAGCUUAACCUUCGGGAGGGCGCUUACCACUUUGUGAUUCAUGACUGGGGUGAAGUCGUAACAAGGUAACCGUAGGGGAACCUGCGGUUGGAUCACCUCCUUACCU